rnacentral:miRNA from 1 species
UCAGAAGUUGUGAAAGCUGCAG